AUGCAAACCACUAUUAUAUGCUAUACUUUGAAAAAGAUGAUAGAAUCCAUCACUAGAUGGCUUUCGCUUUAACGAUUUAUUUUUUUGACGUUUAAUAUAUUAAUUAAUAAUCGCAAAAUUCUUAUUAAUUAUAACUGCGCGAUAUUAGAUAUCAUUCUAUAAAUCAGUUUAUAGAAGAGAUGCGUGAAAUAAUAUUUUAUCGUAAUAGAGUUUUUAUAACGAUGAAGAGAAUGCACAAGUUUCUCGCAUGUGCACAUCACCAUAUAGAUUUGUAUAUAUAUUACUUCGAAUCUACUCCGAUCGGAAGCGUGUGCUAGUGAUUGCACAACUGAACAUCGAUCGCUAACGUGAAAUAUUAUGGCAGAUCUGCUCAGUGGGUGUUAUCACAUUGUCGUAAGCUUCAAGUAGCUUCUGUAUCAGACUCCCGAUUGCGCCUGCAUCUUCGUGGUUCGUUUUACGACCUCGGAUUUGCACGCCUGCACGGUCGAGUCUUCACGUCGCUCCUCGAAGUACCGCGAUUUCCAAAUUGGGGGGCAAUCGAAUAGGUCAGACGAGGUAAUUUGUCGCUUCCAUAUACAGGCACCGCAGAUAGCGUUCAUCGCCCCAGCCAGUUUUCCUAGAACGAGGUGGAACUACCGGUCUUUGCAUAGGCAUAGACUUUCCAGAUGAUAAAGAAAUUGGACUCUCGAGAAGAUCAUCAUCGGAUCUAUUCUCUUCCUGCAAGUUGUUUUGACCUGCACGUCUACCUAAGCGAGAGUGGGAAUAUCUGACAUUGUGCGCUGUAUAUGAAUGCGUACCUAGUAAAGUCGCCUUUACAAAGCCGCCAAGGUAGCAGAUCGAUCUUGUCAUGUAGCAUAAACGACAUAUCCGGACUAACAAUAUAUGGUGUGCCGGCACCGGAGCCGCGUGUCAACAGUCUUCUCUCCUCGUCAUAACAACAGUGCUGCGCGCCGAUGUUCUCGCUUCCUUGUGCCGGGUAUCGACAUGGGCAUGCUGGUAGUUCGUCGAUGGAUCCUGCAGGAUAUAUUCAAAGAGAUUGCCGGACUCUUCUUCGUAAAAUAUAGUUUGAUCGGAAACAUAUCCAUUCGAAUUCGCAUAUCAAGAGUCAAUUCAUCAAAGAAAAGAGACCGAAGACCGCCGUGACUAUGCGAUACGUAAAAGGCUGACACGAUCGCGACGACAUCAAAGAACGCCGGCGUUUGGCGCACGGAUAGAACGGCGGCGGGGAAGAAAAGGGGCGACGAUCCCCGAGCGGGGGAGAGAAGUUUACUUCUGAGAAACGGCACGCCGCAAGAUCGUUUCCCGUCAAUGGCGUAGCCGCUUGCCGGUAGCGAAACGAAUUUUGGAAUUUGUCGAGUAAAAUUUGAGGAAACAAAAAUAACGGACCACAGCAUUUCUCUUCUUAGACACUCGACGUUCCAAACAUUUACUUCGUACUACCACAACACAUGAGCGAUAUUAAAUAAUACACAAAUUAUUCGAUCAUUGUUGUCUGUUUUUCUCUUCAUCGAAGAUUCUUUCGUGUUAUCGUCUCUUGAGCGGUGUUUGUUGACGAUCUCGGGAGUCGACGUCCGCGUUUGUUUACCACCGCAUUCCUCGCGCGCCGAAUACGAAGAGCACCGUACGGGACGUAGGGAGGCGAGAGCACUGAUGACGCGUGAUGUAAAACGGACGAUAUAGCAAAAGAACGAAGAGGCCGAAGGGUCGAGAGAAGAUUCCAAAGGGGGGAAAAGGUAGGCGAACGCGGCGUGCACCGUUCAAAGGCCUACCACUAUGUGCAUAGUUGUGAACCGGUGAAGAGUCUGUCUCACUAUAAUAGCCAGCAAUGGACAGAGGGAAAGAGAGAGAAUCUUCUCUCGGGGUUCGCGAUUGUUCUCUAACUGGUCGGAGGAUUCCCACGACAAAUCUUUAAGUCCUUGCUGAUAGCCAUUCUUGCUCCUAAGGGAAUCUAGCUUCGGAUAUGCGUUAACGUCGCUCAGAGAUAUUAGCACUGAUAACAGCACUAACAACCAAGACAGGACGCUUUUCAUCAUCACCGUUAAAAUGAAUAUUCACGUAUGAAAAAAAGGUUUAGAUGCGGGAAAAACGAAAUAAGAGGAAAGAGCAAAAAAGGAAACGGAGAGAAGCGCUGUGAUGUUACCUAAUCGUAAAUUAACCACGCAAACUACGGCAAGGACUGCCCAUUGCCCCCUUAUACUUUGCAUACGCAUUUCGAUAUCCAGUGAAUGAACGUAUGUAUCGUGUCGUAUGGAAACGAGAUUGUCAGAAGAGUAAUGCUGCGAUCUUUAUAGCACCGAUAUCGAUAAAAAGAACGAAUCAAUGAUAUCCACGAUAAUCGAUUUCUUAUAACAAUCUCAUCGCGAGUUUGAAUGACUAGAAACGUAUUAGGAAGGAAAUUGGCGCGAUAUUUUCGCUCCUUUCUUUUUAGUGUCACGUGCAAAUUUGAAUUGUAUCCAGAUAGAUCGGAAUCAAGAUAGAUCAAUCGCGAUCGGGUCGUGCUGCCCACGCGGUUUGCAAUCUGCGAGAAGACUGACUGUGGCCGACUGAGAGACGUCCGGCGUGACAACAGCGGAUCUCUAUUAAUCUCGUUUGGUGAACGGGGUCCGCCUCGGGGUGAUGGACGACGAGCAGACCGUCCAUCAACUCUCACCACUCACCACCGCCGAUCUGUUUCUAUUGGUUGUCCCGGGAACUUUUUAGUUUCCACCCUGGAUUGCGAAGAAACAGGAAUUCGCGCGAGAAAGCGAGCCUCUCGUUAUCAAUAUUUGUCAAGAUAUUAUCUUUCGUAUUUCUUAUUACUUUAUAUUUAACUAGUAGCUCGCAGCGUGCCGUGUUGGAAGAUAAUCUAGAUCUGUUAUUUUUAUCUGCAAGAUGUACGUAUAUUUAGGCAAUUAACCGAUCCAUCGAUUAGUUUCCUUAGAAAAUUUUAAGUUCAAUUUCUUAAUAUUAGUAUUACUAUUUGCAUCUGUUAUUGUCAUGUUUAUCAAAUAUCCACUUCGCAUAAAUAGAAGGAUUAGAAAUAUAGAACUGAUACAUCUAUGAAAGAAUUGAUUUGUCUCUAUACUAUUCGAUGAAAUCAUUAGUUGUAUGUAUGUAUGUCGAGCUCUAUAUCCAUAAGAUUAUUUCUUAAAGUUGUGAUAUCUCGAUAUGACUGAUGUAGAAUUUUUUCUUAUUUUUUUUUCUUUUUUUGGGUUUUUCUAAUCGGGAAAAGUGUCCACGAUUUCUUAAAAAAAAUAGAAUUUCAUUUGUAUGUGCAAUCUCUUUUUCUCCCUUCUUUGAUAUUACUAGAAAUCAGGAGGCAGAGGAAAGAAGGUAAAAAAGGAGACUAUCCCUCCUUCGUACUUUCUGCGCUUUUUGCCGUACCACCAUCGUCGCAGCACGGCAUGGAGGGAGAGAGAUUCGUCCGGUUGCAACAUCAUCGCCUCUGAUUACACCGGGAGAUCUCUCUGUCUCUCUCUUUUUUUUCUUCUCUUCUCUUCGUUCUCUACGCUCGUUAACACACUCCCUAGCUACUGCCAAGAUCGUUGAGAGGUCUGCGAGAGAAUCAAAUCAGAAGGAUGGAAAACAUUCAUGAAGACGCUGAUAGUGGAGAUUGUAUCUAAACAUAAUUCAAUGAUCCUGAUUUAUUGUGAGACCUUAUUACCACCUUUAUUUUAGAAUCUACUGAUAACCGGGAAGAUAUUUUUGUAUUUUGACAAGUAUUAAUAUCGAUAUUAGUACUAUUUAUUUAUUUGUCAAAAAAUAAAAAAAAGUUGCUUAAUUAAGAAAAGAUAAAAAUAACGUUGACCAUAUAAAA